rnacentral:rRNA from 3 species
GUCAGCGGCCAGAGCAGGGGUGGCACGCCCGGACCCGUUCCGAACCCGGAAGCUAAGACCCCUCGCGCCGAUGGUACUGCGGGGUGAGCCCGUGGGAGAGCAGGGCGCCGCUGACC